AGUGCUUCUACAGCGAAACUGCGAAUGGCUCAUUAAAUCAGUUACGGUUUAUUUGAUGACUUGUGACACGGAUAACUGGGGAAAUUCUUCAGCCAAUACGUGCUUCUAAGCCGACUUUGUGGAAGGUGAGUAUUUGCUCGAUUCUGAACCAACCCAGAUCUUCUGGGCUUUAAGUUGAGCGGAGAGUAAAUCUGUCCAAUCGCAUUGCACCGCGAUGCGAUGCAUCAUUCAAGUUUCUGACCUAUCAGCUUCCGAUUGUAGGGUAUUGGCUUACCAUGGCGAUGACGGGUAUCAGCGAAUUUGGGUUCAGUUCUGGAGAGGGAGCCUGAGAAACGGCUACCACAUCUAAGGAAGGCAGCAGGCGCGUAACUUACCCAAUUCUGACACGGAGAGGUAGUGACAAGAAAUAACGAUACAGGGCAUUCAUGUCUUGUACUUGGGCUGAGUAGAAUGUAAACGACUCUAUGAGUAUCAAUUGGAGGGCAAGUC
rnacentral:rRNA from 1 species